AUGUACCUGUGUUACCUGAGACAGCCGAAGGAGAUUUUGAAAACUUUGAUCUGUCAGACUUUGGACGUACAAGAAGAAAUAUGACUAGUGCAGCUGUAAAGGCUUUAAUCCGUAGUCAAAUACGUGGAGACACGAACUUUAGUGUGAAUUUCACAGAAUAUCAUUUGUGUUCUUUAAUAGGAUUGUUCAAAAGUAUACAACAUCCACCAUUUUAUGUAGAUAUUGCUUGUGUCGAUAUUAAUGGAACUUGUUUCCUUAUGGAUGUGAACAGAAAUAUUAGUAGAUACAGAUCCAUUGAUGGCAGUAUUUGGGAAAUUAACGCUGACUUUACUCCAUUUCAGCCACUUUCUUUUCAAGUACAAUUUUAAGGACAACCUUUUUUAUAGUAUCACUAUUAUAAUUGCUAUAUAAAUAUAUAUAAAUUAUUUUUACAUACCUUCUUCUAUUCAA